CUGGGAUUAGAUACCCUGUUAUUUAAAUUGUAGAUAUAAUAAAUUAAGGUAGUAAUAGUUAUGUUCUUUAAACUUAAAAAAUUUGGCGGUAUUUUAGUCUAUUCAGAGGAACCUGUUUUUUAAUCGAUAAUCCACGAUGGACCUUACUUAAUUUUGUUAUCAGUUUAUAUACCGUUGUUAUUAGAAUAUUUUAUAAGAAUGUUAAUUUUCAUAAUUUUUAUAAGAAAAUAUAUCAAAUCAAGGUGUAGCUUAUAUUUAAGUAUAAAUGGGUUACAAUAAAUAUAUUUAAGCGGAUAUAAAUUUGAAAUAUUUAUUUAAGAUGGAUUUGAUAGUAAAAUUAUAUAGAUAAAUAAUUUGAUUUUAGCUCUAAAAUAUGUACAAAUCGCCCGUCACUCUCUGA
rnacentral:rRNA from 1 species